rnacentral:RNase_P_RNA from 1 species
UGGAGCAGAAGCGCAACUGACGGUACUCAAUCUUCGGGUUGAGCGCUGAGGAAACUCCCAACUACUGCCAGUAACAGUCCUACGAAAGGAAGGAGGCGAGAGCCUCGCUCUGGGAACAGAAACGGCACCACCACUCGGAAUAUGACGAUGAUGCAGACUUGAAUCUGCUGAGGAUUCGAUUGGAGCGGUUGAAACGGCCUAUCACUGUGUAGCAAUCUCAAGAAUACAUCGUCGAGGUGCUGGCCUGAGGUGUAGGGUAGAGAGCUUAGUUAGAUGUUGCAAAGCUCUUUUCGGGCAACUGAAUCGAGCAGAACAAAAUUGGGGCUACUCUCUGGACCA